rfam:Capsicum annuum cultivar Zunla-1 chromosome 1, whole genome shotgun sequence
AGCCGCGCAGUGAGCACAAAGCAAAUUUUUCUUUUGCCUUUUACUAAAGAAUACUGUGUGCACACUGUAAUUAGUGGCAUAUGCCAAUUUUUGGAGGGGUUUCUCUUUAUUAGAGUAC